UACGUAGGGGGCAACGUUGUCCGGAUUUAUUGGGCGUAAAGAGCGUGUAGGCGGCUUGGUAGGUCCGCUGUGAAAACUCGAGGCUCAACCUCGAGAUGUCGGCGGAAACCACUUGGCUAGAGUCCGGAAGAGGAGAGUGGAAUUCCUGGUGUAGCGGUGAAAUGCGCAGAUAUCAGGAAGAACACCUAUGGCGAAGGCAGCUCUCUGGGCCUUACCUGACGCUCAGGCGCGAAAGCUAGGGGAGCGAACAGG
rnacentral:rRNA from 1 species